UUGAACGCUGGCGGCAGGCCUAACACAUGCAAGUCGAACGGUAACAGGAAGAAGCUUGCUUCUUUGCUGACGAGUAGCGGACGGGUGAGUAAUGUCUGGGAAACUGCCUGAUGGAGGGGGAUAACUACUGGAAACGGUAGCUAAUACCGCAUAAUGUCGCAAGACCAAAGAGGGGGACCUUCGGGCCUCUUGCCAUCGGAUGUGCCCAGAUGGGAUUAGCUAGUAGGUGGGGUAACGGCUCACCUAGGCGACGAUCCCUAGCUGGUCUGAGAGGAUGACCAGCCACACUGGAACUGAGACACGGUCCAGACUCCUACGGGAGGCAGCAGUGGGGAAUAUUGCACAAUGGGCGCAAGCCUGAUGCAGCUAUGCCGCGUGUAUGAAGAAGGCCUUCGGGUUGUAAAGUACUUUCAGCGGGGAGGAAGGGAGUAAAGUUAAUACCUUUGCUCAUUGACGUUACCCGCAGAAGAAGCACCGGCUAACUCCGUG
rnacentral:rRNA from 1 species